UACGAAGGGGGCGAGCGUUGCUCGGAAUCACUGGGCGUAAAGCGCACGUAGGCGGACUCUUAAGUCGGUGGUGAAAUCCUGGAGCUCAACUCCAGAACUGCCUUCGAUACUGAGAGUCUUGAGUCCGGGAGAGGUGAGUGGAACUGCGAGUGUAGAGGUGAAAUUCGUAGAUAUUCGCAAGAACACCAGUGGCGAAGGCGGCUCACUGGCCCGGUACUGACGCUGAGGUGCGAAAGCGUGGGGAGCAAACGGG
rnacentral:rRNA from 1 species